rnacentral:rRNA from 1 species
GACGAACGCUGGCGGCGUGCUUAACACAUGCAAGUCGAACGGAAAGGCCCUUCGGGGUACUCGAGUGGCGAACGGGGGAGUAACACGUGGGUGAUCUGCCCUGCACUUUGGGAUAAGCCUGGGAAACUGGGUCUAAUACCGAAUAGGACCACGCGCUGCAUUGUGUGUGGUGGAAAGCUUUUGCGGUGUGGGGUGGGCCCGCGGCCGAUCAGCUUGUUGGUGGGGUAAUGGCCUACCAAGGCGACGACGGGUAGCCGGCCUGAGAGGGUGACCGGCCACACUGGGACUGAGAUACGGCCCAGACUCCUACGGGAGGCAGCAGUGGGGAAUAUUGCCCAAUGGGCGCAAGCCUGAUGCAGCGACGCCGCGUGAGGGAUGCCGGCCUUCGGGUUGUAAACCUCUUUCAAUAGGGACGAAGCGCAAGUGACGGUACCUAUAGAAGAAGCACCGGCCAACUACGUG